GAAAACACUGUCGAAACUUUCGGUUUGCCCCUGGCUGCCCGGGGCAGGGCGCGCCGCCGUCCUCUGGGCCCGGGGAGCUGUGGGGUGGGAGGUGCGGGCCGGAGCGGGCUCUGCCGUCGGGGCUGCGCUCCGGCCCCGAGGGCUCGGCCCCUCCUCGCGCGCCGGGAAGCACGUUUUACCGGCCGGAGCCGCCCCUCACCGGGACCAGGAGGAACGCGGGCGCUCCCCUCUGCCCGUAGCGGUGGCCUUUCGACGCGCUCCGCCCAGCCCGCGACGGCGGUGGACCCAGCGGAGGUCUCAGAGCUGCGCGUGGUCGGGAGUUUCCAUCUCAGCUGCUAGUUUGGUGUUUGACAAAAUCCAGCACCUGGGAACUGGUGCCCCCACGCAGAGGCUGGCACCUCCAGAGGCUGGGGUGGUUUGGGGUAGUAUUUAUCCUGCUCUGGAUGUUAGGACCUUUGGGGCUGAGCCCCAUUCCUCCAAACACCUCCAAGGACCCCUGUCACCUGAUCUACUUUGGCUGGUCUCCUGGGGUCUCCAGGUCUGGACAGGACCCUCCCUCUACGGGAUUUUGCAGUUACUCAGCUCAGUACCCAGUAUUGGGAUCCUGUAUGUGGGGCUGGUUUGACAUUGAAGUUGGACAAGGGGGUAGGGUGGCAAAGGUUUGUAAUUGCCGGUUUUCAUGAAGCUUGUGGUUGACUUCGAAUGGGAACCUAGGGAGGCAGAGGGGUGCACUUUGGAAAAGAACCAUGAUGUCAAUGCUACAGACAGGGACCCUAGAUUUCCACUUUACUGGGCUUUUGUGGAAGCCUUGAUAAAAGUGUGAGCCCAACACAAUCACUCCUUCAUCAGGCAGGAGUUAAUCAUCUACUGGGAGUUUGUGGAGGGUCCAAGAUAAGACCGCCCUCGCCUUGGAGAGUUUACUGGGGCCUGGGAGCCUGCAGAGGGAUUCUGGUUCACCAUCAGGGGAGCUAGAAGGAAGGACGAGAAGGCUGCUGGGAGAUGCUGGUGUUUCGCGGAGGGGUCUGGGCAAACCAUAGAUGGCAGGCGCAGAGUGAUGUUAACCUUGGGCAAGAAUCGAGCUCAGAGGGACGACGUGCCGGGCAGGGAGCCCUCGAAGGAGGACAGAAUAAACAUGGAGAAUCAGGAUGUGAGGACGGGAGGCACAGGCCAUCGGAGAAAUGAGGAGAAAGAACCAGUGUGGCCUGGCCCUGGCUGUCGACUCCCCUUCACCCUCACCCCGUGGACUGGAUCUGGUUGAGACACACACUUCUCAGAGGUGCUGUGGGACUAGGUGCCAGCGGGUCUGGAGUGGGCUUUGAUUGAGGCGCGCCAUUGUUCCCCAGCGCCUGGACCCAAUACGCUCUGAAAACUGGAAGUUGUUGCCUUUUUUUGGUAAGGUUUAUGGCAGAAUUCAUUUGGCCGGGAGACCUUCCCUGGCUGAUGGGAGGCUGUUUUCUAUCUUUCUCCCUCUCCUUGUGAAUAUUCACACAUUUCUCUGCAGCCUGUGAAUGGCCUUGAUUGAGGGCUGUCGCUCCGGGUGGCCACAGACCAUACGGUGUUUACAACUUACUACCCUCCUGAAAUCCCAAAACGUUGAAUUCUGGUCCCAGGAGUUUCCAACAAGAAAUUGUAAACCUAUAGGAGUUGUUUGGGUGUUUUUGUUUUUGUUUUCUUUUUAGUAAAUAGUAGCACAAAGUAUCUUAGAGUGGGGCUUGGGGAACAGAAAUAAAACUCCAUGUUUGUUUUAUGAGGUUAAUGGUCUGAUUAAAAGGAAGUUGAACAGUUGGGGGCUCUUUACAUAAGUCAGCCCUGGCCCCAGAGCUCCGGGAGAGGCCAGCGUAGAAACCAUACAUUUCUUGAACUUUUGUAACUUCCUCCUGUUUCAGAUGGGUUGUGUUAUCUCUGGUCCCUUUCCAUAUGCUGAUUAGCACCAAGCCCUUACAGACCGACCAGCAGUCCUGUCCCGAGAAGGUGGACACAGCCUCCCAAGCCCCGUCUCAUCAUCACAGAUACCUUUGCAAAGGUCCCCCAGGUCUGGGCGAGUGCCAGCAUUGACCGGAGUCCGUGCAAAGGCCGUAGGCCCCUCUGUUGCUCAGUCUGAGAUUUUGAGCCCUGGAAUCAUGGUUUGUUUUACAUGGGUCAUUUUCCCAAGCAGUUAAGGUAUAAAAAUAGUUACGUAAGAGCUUUUCCCAUAGGAUUAAGAGUGGUCCGCUAGGGCAGAGAUAGAGACAAAAGUCCCUUUUGCUUUAAGAGUUAGUUUCUGUUCAGCCGAAGCUAACACGACAUAGCGGAAGCCUCCUUAGCAACUUUUUUUCUUUUUUAACUAGAAAACCCUUGAGUCUAAACUGCCACUUACACCGAGCACAGGAAAUCCAGUUACAAAACAGGUCUCAGGCCAAGUUAGUCGGAGUAUUACCUGAUUAGAGGUCCUUAUCUGGUUUCUACAGAAUUGUGAGGCCGAAUGUUGGUGUAACAUGUUUGUGCCUCAAAAGGCAAUGUUCGAGAGGAAUUUGUUAUCCCUGAAAAAUCAGGAGACGUGACUCAGCACAGGCAUUGUUUAUGACUGGUUACUCAGUGUUUCCAAGUAUCUGUUCAUAUUUAAGAGUAUUAAUCUUGGAGCCUUGGAGGCCAUAAGGUCCAAAUUACUAACCUGUUAUCGAAAUAAGCCUAUCACAUCCCCCCACUAAAGGUUGGACCCAGAGGGUGGGGAGCAGAGGAGUUUGUACUCUGGGCCACCAAAAUUUUAGUGGUUUUUUUUUCUUUUUUUCUUUUAAUAAAGAAGCUCAUUUCCAUGGAAUGGAUUUACUAAAUUUUCAUUACUCCCACUUUUUAGAUAAAAUUACAUACAUUAGUUUCUUUCUUCCACAUGUACAUCCAUGAUGUAAUAAUUCAAAAUUGCCAUGCAUUUGAUCGCAGACCACUACUGAAAACUCCCCUUCCCCUGGCCACAUUCCAAAAUAAAUAAACAACAAAAACCAACAACAACA